AGAUUCUUCGGAGAUCAUGGAGGUUGUCGAAGGGAUCCGCAGUAUGUGUUGUCCGAACAGUAAAGUCCAAUUUAAUGUGCUUGCCAAGGAGGUGCCAAAGCUAUAAGCCUAAUAGUACACGACAACCACUUUUCCGUUACAGACUAUACAAUUUACUACUUUGUAUGAGAACAUUUUGAUGGAUGUCCAUAAGAUUGUAAAGGACUUAAGUUAAUACAAAUUUGUGUUAGUUUCCCAAUAUUUUAAAGUAGGAAGGUAGUAUCACUAACUUAUAUGUAUGAGUAAAAACUAUUGUAGGAGUGAGCUUUCGUCAACGUCGUUAGUACCAGCUCGAUUAUAGUACUAAUGCAUGGAAUUAGUACCGGGCACCACGCAAAGUACCACCGGAGCCGAUUUAGUACCGGUUGGGGGAUUCAUCCGGUUCUAAAUGGUGACACAACGACCAGGGGGCCAACGCCCCUGGAAGCUAUUUACUACCGGCUGGUGGAUAGAGCCGGUACUAAAUGGUGUUCAGGCACGUUAGUACCGGUUAGAAGCUACAACAAACGGAACUAACUUCCAUCCUAUAAAUGAUGCCCCUUCCUCCCCGAGCUAGACCAUUUGACCGAGAGUUCGGGCUUCUUCACUCC
rnacentral:lncRNA from 1 species